rnacentral:rRNA from 1 species
GAUGAACGCUGGCGGCGUGCUUAACACAUGCAAGUCGAACGAACCUUCGGGUUAGUGGCGGACGGGUGAGUAACGCGUGAGAAUCUGCCCUCAGGAGGGGGACAACAGCUGGAAACGGCUGCUAAUACCCCAUAUGCCGCGAGGUGAAAUGAAUUUCGCCUGAGGAUGAGCUCGCGUCUGAUUAGCUAGUUGGUGUAGGUAAUGGCUCACCAAGGCAUCGAUCAGUAGCUGGUCUGAGAGGAUGAUCAGCCACACUGGGACUGAGACACGGCCCAGACUCCUACGGGAGGCAGCAGUGGGGAAUUUUCCGCAAUGGGCGAAAGCCUGACGGAGCAACGCCGCGUGAGGGAUGAAGGCCUCUGGGCUGUAAACCUCUUUUAUCAAGGAAGAAGAUCUGACGGUACUUGAUGAAUAAGCCACGGCUAAUUCCGUGCCAACG